UACGUAGGGGGCUAGCGUUGUCCGGAAUCAUUGGGCGUAAAGCGCGUGUAGGCGGCCCGGUAAGUCCGCUGUGAAAGUCGAGGGCUCAACCCUCGAAAGCCGGUGGAUACUGUCGGGCUCGAGUGCGGGAGAGGCGAGUGGAAUUCCUGGUGUAGCGGUGAAAUGCGCAGAUAUCAGGAGGAACACCGAUUGCGAAGGCAGCUCGCUGGAACGUAACUGACGCUGAGACGCGAAAGCGUGGGGAGCGAACAGG
rnacentral:rRNA from 1 species